GGCCUCUGGACAACUCCCCCUCCCCCACCGUCUCCCCCAAGAGACGCAGGCUCUGAUCUCCCCCACGCCCACCUCCCCACUCAGCUCAGGCACACCAAGCUUCUCUGUCCCUUGACCCCACAGGUCUCAUUGGCUUCUUUCCUUGAGGGGCUCGUUCUUUCUCGGAAGCCUCGAGAUGCGUGUCACCUCCCCAGAGAGACGAUCCCCGAGGGUUCCGAGUACAGGGACCUCUCUCGCCCUCGGUUUGCCUCCUCUAGACGCAUCUCACGUGAUUCGACCCUUCAUUCCUUUUUUAUUCACCGUUUAUCCCUCCUCUUGCGACAGUGGUUCCAUGGGGGCAGCAGGCGUCUCCACUGGGAGACUCUCCACGCCGCUGGGACCUGCCUCACAAAUUCUUCUCCCGCGUAGGUGGUGACACAGUCUCAGCAGAUUUCCCUUCGCCGGACGGUAGGUCCUUGUAACCCCUGUGUUUCGUAUGUAGUAACAUGUAUAUGUCAGUCCCUCCCACUGCAGCCACUGUGCAGAGCAGCAGGUUCUUGUCAGGACAGUGACUUCUUCUGUCACGUCAAAACGCCAAUCAAGGGAGUUCCUGUCGUGGCUCAGUGGUUAAUGAAGCCAACUGGCAUCCAUGAGGAUGCGGGUUUCAUCCCUGGCCUCACUCAGUGGGUUAAGGAUCUGCUGUUGCCAUGAGCUGUGGUGUAGGUCACAGACAUGGCUUGGAUCCUGUGUUGCUGUGGCUGUGGUGUAGACCAGCAGCUGCAGCUCUGAUUUGACCCCUAUCCUGGGAACCUCCAUAUGCUGUGGGUGCAGCCCUAAAAAAGACAAAAGGAAAAAAAACAAACAAACUCCAAUUAAGGAGUUCCCAUUGUGGCUCAGGAGUAAUGAGCCAGAGCAGUAUCCAUGAGGAUGCGGGUUCAGUCCUUGGCCUCACUCAGUGGUUUAAAGGGUUGCUGUGAGCCACAGUGUAGGUCACAGAUGCAGCUCGGAUCCUGCAUUGCUGUGGCUGUGGCCAGUGGCUACAGCUG
rnacentral:lncRNA from 9 species